GCCAGACUCCUACGGGAGGCAGCAGUGGGGAAUAUUGGGCAAUGGGCGCAAGCCUGACCCAGCAACGCCGCGUGAAGGAAGAAGGCUUUCGGGUUGUAAACUUCUUUUCUGAGGGACGAAGAAAGUGACGGUACCUCAGGAAUAAGCCACGGCUAACUACGUGCCAGCAGCCGCGGUAAUACGUAGGUGGCAAGCGUUAUCCGGAUUUAUUGGGUGUAAAGGGCGUGUAGGCGGGAAAGCAAGUCAGAUGUGAAAACUCAGGGCUCAACCCUGAGCCUGCAUUUGAAACUGUUUUUCUUGAGUGCUGGAGAGGCAAUCGGAAUUCCGUGUGUAGCGGUGAAAUGCGUAGAGAUCGGGAGGAACACCAGUGGCGAAGGCGGCCUACUGGGCUUUAACUGACGCUGAGGCACGAAAGCGUGGGUAGCAAACAGGAUUAGAUACCCCUGUAGG
rnacentral:rRNA from 1 species